GACGAACGCUGGCGGCGUGCUUAACACAUGCAAGUCGAACGGAAAGGCCUCUUUCGGGGGGUACUCGAGUGGCGAACGGGUGAGUAACACGUGAGUAACCUGCCCUUGACUUUGGGAUAACUUCAGGAAACUGGGGCUAAUACCGGAUAGGAGCUCCUGCUGCAUGGUGGGGGUUGGAAAGUUUCGGCGGUUGGGGAUGGACUCGCGGCUUAUCAGCUUGUUGGUGGGGUAGUGGCUUACCAAGGCCAUGACGGGUAGCCGGCCUGAGAGGGUGACCGGCCACAUUGAGACUGAGAUGCGGCCCAGACUCCUACGGGUGGCAGCAGUGGGGAAUAUUGCACAAUGGGUGGAGGCCUGAUGCAGCAACGCCGUGUGCGGGAGGACGGCCUUCGGGUUGUAGACCGCUUUCGCUCAUGACGAAGCUUUGUGUGACGGUAGUGGGUAAAGAAGCACCGGCUAACUACGUG
rnacentral:rRNA from 1 species